rnacentral:sRNA from 1 species
ACCUACCAAUAAAAACCCGACGAUCUGUUGCAUGCUCUUCACUUCAGAGUUGACUGAAAAAAACCCACCAAUGCAGAUAGUUUGUCCCGUGUUUACAAGGAACAAUCUGUACAUCUGUGGACCAGUUGGUAGUUUGUACUGUAGGCUAGUUUUGAUGGUCAGCGUCUAGUUGACAAACUAUCGAUGUUCUUCACGGAAUGUUUAAUUGCACACGUCACCAAGUAUGAUUUACUGCAGCUGGACUCGACAACACAAUGUACAGCUUUUAUGAUUAUUUUAAGGGCACAUGCAGCAGCUUCCUGGGGAGUGUGCAGUCUGUUUACAUACAAAUGGAAAACACGUGGUUUUGAGGGUAGACCUGUUUGGAGCUAGAUAUUUUGAGAAAAUGCCGUAUCGCUUGCCCUUUUUAUGGUGUUAGCUGAUGAGAUAGGUAACAAAUAACCUUUCCUCCGAAUAUUUUGUCAUGAGAAAUACAAACUGAUUUUUAAGAAUUGUUUCCCCUCUAUAGUGCUAUAUAGUGAAACAAUUACCGGUGUGAUACCUUGAAAUUUUGCCCAAACCCACCCAACCCUCAGACAUUGCAGAUGCAUUCAAUUAUUCAAUUAUAUUAAAUUUUAUUUUAUAAAUUUUGUUUUUGGAACAGUUUGCUAUUUGAAAGUUAUUUGCAUAUUUGUUGCAAUAGUAUUCUAAAGUCAAAACAAUUUUAUAACAACUGUCUUACAAUCGUACGUUUGUGGUUAGUAAUCGCAAUUAUCCAAAUGUUAAUUUGCAAUUCGUACUAAUAAUAUUGUAUGUUUGUUGGUAACGGAUACUGCUGUUGUUUACCGUUGUAUUUUCAGUUUACUAUGAGGACUUUUAAAAUCAACUAUGUAUGGUAUAUCAAAGAUUCAAGAACUCAUCAUAGCUUAUUUCAUCUUCUGCUUGUGCUUCAACAGUGGACUGGCUCAGUGUUGGUAAAUUGAAUGUGAAUGAACUCUCUGUACGGUGGAAUUUGCACCAUGGCAAGAUUUCUCACGUCUUUGAUGUAGUCAACUGUUCCCAGGGCCUGCUCAAAGAUUGGGAUUAGGUGGUCAACUGUUCCCAGGGUCCGCCUAACCUAGCCAUUAACCCGCCUUAAUCAUAUACAUAUAUGAUACAUUAUUGUUUAUGCAUUUGAUUAUAUUGACAUUUUUCAAUAAUUGACAUUAAUUAUUGAUUGCAUGCAUUAUUGUGAUUAUUAUAUUGCUUGAACAUUGUUUGCAUUGAUUAUCAUGAUUGAUUGACAUUGAUUGAACACUUGAUUUUGUUUAUUGUACAGCCAUAUACCUGCUCAUCAAGGGGGUGGCAGGUCGGUUGUUAAACUGUUGGUAAAUUUUGUAAAAUAAAUAAGCCAUAACCAAAAAUCAC